rnacentral:lncRNA from 1 species
UGAGGUAAAAAAAGCGGGGAUUUUGGUUUUUGGUGGGUGCCCUUUAUGGGGAAUGGGAAAUUUAAAGCGUGUGUGGGGGCAAUAUGGGGGGACACAGUGCUUUCAACGGCAAUAAAUCUUAACGGACUUUAAAAGGACAAGAACCUUAUUUUUUGAGUGUUGGACGGUUGAGAUUUUCUUUUUCUUUAUUUUAUUUUUAAAAAUUGUCGUUAAUUUCUUAAAUUUUAGAGAUAAAGUAAACUUGACAAUUUUUUCAUUUUGGUCCUUGAUUGUUUUGUCUGCAUUGGUCUUGAAACUCGACAGGUUUUUUCAAUUUAGUCCCAAAACUUGAAUUAUAUUAAG